GGGGUGCUCGAGUGGCGAACGGGUGAGUAACACGUGAGUAACCCGCCCUUGACUUUGUGAUAACUUCAGGAAACUGGGGCUAAUACCGGAUAGGAGCUCCUGCUGCAUGGUGGGGGUUGGAAAGUUUCGGCGGUUGGGGAUGGACUCGCGGCUUAUCAGCUUGUUGGUGGGGUAGUGGCUUACCAAGGCUUUGACGGGUAGCCGGCCUGAGAGGGUGACCGGCCACAUUGGGACUGAGAUACGACCCAG
rnacentral:rRNA from 1 species